AUGCCAGAGGGAGAUAUUGAGUCCUUUUCUAACCCUUUGGCUCCAGGUGGCCGUGAUGGGGAUGAUCUUCAUUCCUUCCACCAACCAAAUCUUACCAAUGAAGACUUCAGGAAACUUCUUAUGACCCCCAAGAGCUGUACCUCCUUCUGUACCACCUUCUGAGUCAAGUCACCAUGAGAUGCCAAGAGAGUGCAAUGAGGAUGAAGACCCAGCUGCACAAAGGAGGAAAAAGCAAAGUUAUUAUGCCAAGCUUCGCCAGCAAGAGAUUGAGAGAGUGCGAGAACUCGAAGAAAAAUACCGGGACGGUGCCAAGGAAUGGAGAGAUGGUGAAAACAAAGGUUAUAGGGAAACUGAGCUGAUAAGUACCACAGCCAACUCCAGGGCUGUGGGCCCACUGCUGAGGUGGACAAAUCAGCAGCAGAGAAGACAAUUGAUCCAGGAGUCUAAAUUCUUGGGUGUUGAUAUAGAACACACCCAUUUGGUGAAAGGUUUGGAUUUUGCGUUGCUUCAAAAGAUGUGUACUGAGAUUGCCAGAAAAGGGAAGGAGGAAGAGAAAUUCAUGGAAAAGUCCCCAAAGGAAACUAAGAAAGGUGAGAAUCCUGAGAACAAAAUUGAAUUUAAAACAUGCCUUGGCCAAAAUGUGUAUCAGGUACUUUUCAAGAGUAAAUCACAUGAGCGAAAUGAGCUGUUCUUACCAGGACGUAUGGCCUAUGUAGUAGACCUGGCUGAUGAGUACCCAGACACAGAUAUCCCCACCACUCUGCAGCAAGGCUGAUUGCCCCACCGUGGAGGCCCUGACUACACUGACUACAAAUGGCAUCGUUAUUAGCAAACUCACACAGAUUUUCUCACACCUGAGGCAGGGGACCCAAAACAAGAAGCUAAAGAAGGAUAAAGGAAAACUGGGAAAAAAAGAAACCACCUGGUCUGACAUGAACAUUUUUGAAGACACUGGGGAUUAUGUUCCUUCCACAACCAAGACACCUCGGGACAAGGAGCAUGAGAGAUACCGGGAAUGGGAACAUGAUCGGGAAUGGGAGCAAGAGGAGGAAAAGAAAAGGCACGGCCCCUUCGAGAAGCCAAAAGUGGAUGAUGAGCCCAUGGAUGUUGACAGAGGCCCUGGAUCUGCAAAGGAGUUGAUCAAGUCCAUCAAUGAAAAAUUUGCUGGGUCUGCUGGUUGGGAAGGCACUGAAUUGUUGAAGAAGCCAGAAGAUACAAAGCAUCUGGGUGACUUCUUUGGCAUGUCCAACAGUUAUGCAGAAUGGUAUCCAGCUAUGAUGGAUGACAUGGCUAUAGAUAGUGAUGAAGAGGUAGAUUAUAGCAAAAUGAACCAGGGUAACAAGAAGGGUCCUUUAGGUCGCUGGGACUUUGAUACUCAGGAGUUAUAGAGAGAUUAUAUGAACAACAGGGAGGCUUUGCCCAAGGCUACAUUCCAGUAUGGUAUCAAGAUGUCUGAAGGAUGGAAAACCAGACGAUUCAAAGAAACCAAUGAGAAGGCAGAGCUUGAUCGUCAGUGGAAGAAAGUAAGUGCAAUCAUCUAGAAGAGGAAGAAGAUGGAAGCAGAUGAAGUGAAAAGACCAAGAUACUAA